GUCUACGGCCAUGCUACCCUGAACAAGCCCAAUCCCAUCUGAUCUCAGAAGCUAAGCAGAGUCAGGACUGGUUAGAACUUGGAUGGGAGACCACCUAGGAAGACCAGGUACUGUAGGUG
rnacentral:rRNA from 1 species